CGGACCUGGGUGCGUGAAAGUGCGUGUGCGUGUGUGUAUCGAAGCCAGUGCAGCGCACGUCGACAGGUCUUCGUGUUCGUCUACAGACGGCCGUAGAGGAGGGAGAGGACCACGCACACCCAGACUCUCUCACUCUUUCAAGGGCUUGUAUGGGGUUUGCUGCGCGCGUGUCGCUUGGAUCUGCAUGUCCAUUUCCUUGCACAUCUUUUUGUGCAUGUAUGCGUCUAUGCUCGUCUAGCGAAAUGCGUGUGUGCGCGCGUGUGUACGUUGGCUUUGGAACUCCCGGUACUCGGGCAUGAGCUGCAUGUCGGACCCAGGAGUGUCGGUGCCACAGCAGUGGUCGUGCACUCUCAUGGACAUCAGUGGCUCCCUUCUCCCUUCUCCCUCUCUACGUCUCCCCCACCCUUACUUCCCCAGACUGCACGCUCGUGGAGAGUUUGUCGCAGGUUGCGUGGCUGUUGCGACGGCGCUCGAUUACACCCGGUGCCCGUGCGUGCGCACUCAUGCUUUUUGGACCUCACACCCAUCUCAUCUCUCUCUCUCUGUCGUCUUCCUCCCUUUCUAUUAUUUUGGGGUGGCCCGAAUCAAUCUCUGGCGCCCCUCCCCCUUCCCACUUCCGCCUGCCCGUGUCACCAACCGCUGGCUGCGCAUCGACGAGCCGAUUUGCGUGCGCGGUUGUUUAUAUUUUAAAAG
rnacentral:misc_RNA from 1 species